AAUUUGCGACUGUCGGUAGCUGCAGUAAUUGUUUGCUUUAGGGUUUUGUAGUGUUGUGUGUGGUUCGUGGAAGCCCGGAGUAUUUUCGAUGUGGCGGUGUGAGUAAUUCGUGGGAGAUGGAACUACUCUGCAAUUUGGAGUGUGCACAGUGCCAUUGUGGGUGGUUUUUAGAGCUACGUUUGAGAUCGUAACCAGUGACAGUGAUGUGCAGCACUAGCUGAAGGUUUUGGGAAGAGACGGAUUUUGGAAGAGAUGAGGAGAUACCGCAAGAGCUCUUGGCCGCCAAAAGACCUGCAGUUACGUGUUGUCAAAGUGCAACAGUUACCUACUUCGAUCCUUUGUACCGACAUACCAUGCUGUUGAUCCCAUUGAUUGUUUCUUCUAAGACGUCUUUUCCAUACAGAUGAGCUGACGAUUGUGUAAGCAUCAGAUGGCGCAGCAAUGAAGGCAUUGCUAGGAAAUGAAGAUGAAUUUGCAAUGGUUGUUGAGGGUCUAUUUGAGAAGUUGGGUCACUGAUGAGAAUGGCAAGUCUAACAGUAACGAGCUCUGACCAGCCAUUUUGCAGCUGGAGGUUGAACAGGGCGUCUCUUGUCGCCUGUGUUUUGACUCUGCUUGAUCCACGACUAUUCUACAUGAACUGAUUAGAUGGGUUGACGAGCUCCCCUGUUGCAAGAUGUGCUUCAAGACAUGGGUGAGUCCCUUUACGAGAAACCUAUGACCGCUGUACUGAAUGUGAAAAUUCCAAAUGGAUCGUAAGUGUGAAGGGAUUUCCUGUUUGUCACCUUUUGCUUACCAUUUACAGGUCUUUUCGUGUUACUUAAGGCGUCCUUGGUUCUUCACCUUCUUGUUUAUAGCUAUUUAUCCUUCAUUUCCAACCUGUUAUUCUAAGUCUUAAUAUUAACAAAUUUUAUGCUUAGUUCUUAUUUCUACUUCCACAAAUAUUACAAUUCAAUCUGAGUUAUUCCAGGAUUUGUUUUGUACUUUUAAGGACCAAUAUCUAUGCGAAGCAAUUGUGCAACAAUAAAUUUGUACCUAUUCAAUUUGUGAAGAAAUGUGGGAUGUUUUACAAGUACAAUCAUUAGAAGCAACUUCUUUUACUUAUAAUAGGUUUUAAAUGACCCAAUCUCAUUUUGUUGUUGGUUUUUUUUCUAUGUUCUAUGUAUUUAAAUUUUUUAAAUAUAUUUAUAAUUACUUAGCUUGUAAAUUUGAAAAUAA